rnacentral:lncRNA from 1 species
GCCUUGUUAAUUUCAUAUAUGUACAUUAUUGUAUUUGACAGUUGGAUUUAUUGAUAUACAACAUUUUCUACUGGUUUGGGUAAUUUUGGUUUGACUGUAGUUUACUUCAAAGGUUUUCUUUUUAUGCUUCAUUAGACCGCACACUUUCUUUAUUUCUAUUGGUCAUCAUAUUUUGGUGCUAUAUUUUUUUUUUCUUCUAUGCUGGUCAUCACUUUCUAUAUACUGGUGGACAUAUUCAUAUGUGCUUGAUAUAAUUUUAAGUCUGAACUUGUCUUCUUUCUUAGUUUUCUAUAUUCUGUAUUGAGGUCAAUUAUAUUUCUUUAUUACUAAUUAUAAAUAAAUAC